rnacentral:rRNA from 1 species
UACGUAGGGUGCAAGCGUUGUCCGGAAUUAUUGGGCGUAAAGAGCUCGUAGGCGGUCUGUCGCGUCUGCUGUGAAAACUCAGGGCUUAACCCUGAGCUUGCAGUGGGUACGGGCAGACUAGAGUGCGGUAGGGGAGACUGGAAUUCCUGGGUGUAGCGGUGAAAUGCGCAGAUAUCAGGAGGAACACCAGCGGCGAAGGCGGCGCUCUGGGCCGGUACUGACGCUGGAGGUGACGAAAGCGUGGGGGAGCAAACAGG